CUACGUAGGGUGCGAGCGUUGUCCGGAAUUACUGGGCGUAAAGAGUUCGUAGGCGGUUUGUCGCGUCGUUUGUGAAAACCCGGGGCUCAACUUCGGGCUUGCAGGCGAUACGGGCAGACUUGAGUGUUUCAGGGGAGACUGGAAUUCCUGGUGUAGCGGUGAAAUGCGCAGAUAUCAGGAGGAACACCGGUGGCGAAGGCGGGUCUCUGGGAAACAACUGACGCUGAGGAACGAAAGCGUGGGUAGCAAACAGGAUUAGAUACCCUGGUAGUCCACGCCGUAAACGGUGGGCGCUAGGUGUGGGUUCCUUCCACGGGAUCUGUGCCGUAGCUAACGCAUUAAGCGCCCCGCCUGGGGAGUACGGCCGCAAGGCUAAA
rnacentral:rRNA from 1 species